CGGCUUGCACGAAAGCAGAGGAACCUGGAGAACGCUGGGCUCGCUUCUCGUGCGCCAGUCCGAGGACUCGUGGAGGAGGAAGGCUUACAGGCCGCAGCUAUUCUCUCCGCUGGCCUCCAGAGGAGUCCCACCAGGGAAGAAGAUAAAAUGUGGGCUAGGGAUGUGCCCGAACCAUGGUCCGAAGCGCGGUUCGAGCACUCCCAAGGAAAUUAGGAAGGGAACUUUAAGACAAAGGAGAGCAAGUGUUUACCUGUCCACAGACACAAUGCGCAUGCUGAUGGCUUUUUGGAAGGCGCGCCACCCCGGCAGGAAGCUGGAAGAGGUGGCAGAGAGCAGGUAAGCACCUGCUUUCCUUUGUCUUAUAGUUCCCUUCCUAAUUUCCUCGACAGUGCUUGAACUGCGGUUAGGGCACAUCCCUAAUGUGGGCAUUUAAAAUUAAUACUGGCUAUAUGCCAAUAGCAAACAAGAAAGCAUUUCAUCAAAUGUGACCUCCACGUUCUUAUCCAAUAAGCAUAUUUAAAUAAAGCUAACUUUUGAGUAUCUUAAUGAAGCAUUUAAUUAGUAUCUGAAUUUGCUCUAUAGACCAGUUUGGUCUGUAGAUAACUAUAGACCAAUUAUCCCUCCAGUAUGCUCAGUGAAGAGUUCUAUGUAACUAAAAACAUUGCAUACUGUCACAUCAGCAACACUUCUAAAUGUCCCCUUGGCUUGUUCUGAACCUCCUAGUUUCUAAAACAAAAAUAAUGACAAGCUAAUAUGGCUCAAAGCUGAUUAAUUGCUUAGCUUAAGGUUUAAUUAAUUCACAUUUCCCCCCUUAAUUUCCAUCAAUCCACAAUCUCCAAUUAAGCAUAAAAAUCUGAAGUGAACUGCAAUCAUGCAAGGAAAUGAACAAGUUAAGCACCUCGAUUAAUUACUCUCACCAGUAUCAGAGGCAGGGAGGCUGGACUGGAACUAAUUAUUUUUGGGACAAGAGAGAGACUAUAAAGAUAUUCCAAGACAGGACAAGACAGCUAUGGUUCCAGAAUGGUUCCUUUUCUGUUUAUGGGGGAUAGGUGGUCUCAUCUUAUAGCACAAUUGUGGGAUGGUGCUAUGUGCUCUUUGUACCCUCAGAUGCACAUAUUUUCUUUAUGCCUAACGUUUUAGAUUAUGCUAUGCUAGCAGAUUCUCUCUAGAGGCUUUUCUUGUGUGUCACCCCUGCUAGAUUGGCCUGUGAGAGAAAAGGGAGGACAGAAGAAUAAAUCAGCUUUGCCUAACGGAGUUUCCAUCCAUGCACACAGCUGUGUUGCAUGCCAAGAUGGCAUGAAACAAUUAGCCCCUCUUAAAACCUGUAUAGUUAGUUGUCGACUUUUCUGCAUAGAUUACAUAAUUCAAAUGUUUAAAUUAAACAUGCCUCAAGUCAGGACUAAUGGAUGGUAGCCGAAUAGAGCACACCAGCCUAAAGUGUGGGUGGACUAACUGAUGAACCUGCACUACAGAAAGUAAACAUUAGGUGGCACUGAAUGCGCAGAUUUCCCACCCCCUAACUCUGGAUGUGUUCUGGGAUGUCCAUUUUAUUAAGAAUAUGUACAUAUCUUUUCAACAAAGACAAGCAGCAGUUCACACAGGAAAGUUGUAAGGAAAAAAUAGUGCUAAUUAUAUUAUAAGCUUUUUGACAUGUGGCUAUUGUUUUAAUUUUAUUGUUGGCAUUGGGUUUUGUUACACUUCAAGUUUUCUUUGCCCCCCCCCGUGCACCCUGUUUAAAACAUAAUUUUAAUAAUGUAGUUAUUAAAAUGUAAUUGUAAUACUG